rnacentral:rRNA from 1 species
UACAGGGGGGUGCAAACGUUGCUCGGAAUCAUUGGGGCGUAAAGCGCACGUAGGCGGUCUGUUAUGUCGGAUGUGAAAGCCCUUGGCUUAACUGAGGAAGUGCAUCCGAAAACUGGCAAGCUAGAGUACCAAAGAGGGGGGGUGGAAUUCCCGGGUGUAGCGGUGAAAUGCGUAGAUAUCGGGGAGGAACACCGGUGGCGAAGGCGGCCCCCUGGUUGGAUCU